rfam:Folsomia candida strain VT population Fcan01_Sc001, whole genome shotgun sequence.
GGCGCCUUAGCUUAGUAGUAUAGCGCUUGUCUUGUAAACAAGAGGUCGUGGGUUCAAUUCCCACAGGUGCCA